rnacentral:SRP_RNA from 1 species
GCCGGGCGUGGUGGUGCAUGCCUGUAAUCCCAGCUACUGGGGAGGCUGAGGCAGGAGAAUUGCUUGAGCCUGGGAGGCGAAGGUUGCAGUGAGCCAAGAUCGCACCACUGCACUCUAGCCUUGGCAACAGAGUGAGACUCUGUUUCAA